rnacentral:rRNA from 1 species
GUGGGGAAUAUUGGACAAUGGGCGAAAGCCUGAUCCAGCCAUGCCGCGUGUGUGAAGAAGGUCUUCGGAUUGUAAAGCACUUUAAGUUGGGAGGAAGGGCAGUAAGUUAAUACCUUGCUGUUUUGACGUUACCGACAGAAUAAGCACCGGCUAACUUCGUGCCAGCAGCCGCGGUAAUACGAAGGGUGCAAGCGUUAAUCGGAAUUACUGGGCGUAAAGCGCGCGUAGGUGGUUUUGUAAGUUGGAGGUGAAAUCCCCGGGCUCAACCUGGGAACUGCCUCCAAAACUGCAUGACUAGAGGACGGUAGAGGGUAGUGGAAUUUCCUGUGUAGCGGUGAAAUGCAUAGAUAUAGGAAGGAACACCAGUGGCGAAGGCGACUACCUGGACUGAUACUGACACUGAGGUGCGAAAGCGUGGGGAGCAAACAGGAUUAGAAACCCGGGUAGUCC